rnacentral:rRNA from 1 species
UUUUGAUUUCUUCGGAUUGAAGGAGUGACUGAGCGGCGGACGGGUGAGUAACGCGUGGGGAACCUGCCCCAUACCGGGGGAUAACAGUUGGAAACGACUGCUAAUACCGCAUAAGCGCACAGGAAGGCAUCUUCCAGUGUGAAAAACUCCGGUGGUAUGGGAUGGACCCGCGUUGGAUUAGCCAGUUGGUGGGGUAACGGCCUACCAAAGCGACGAUCCAUAGCCGGCCUGAGAGGGCGACCGGCCACAUUGGGACUGAGACACGGCCCAAACUCCUACGGGAGGCAGCAGUGGGGAAUAUUGCACAAUGGGGGAAACCCUGAUGCAGCGACGCCGCGUGAGUGAUGAAGUAUUUCGGUAUGUAAAGCUCUAUCAGCAGGGAAGAAGACGACGGUACCUGACUAAGAAGCCCCGGCUAACUACGUGCCAGCAGCCGCGGUAAUACGUAGGGGGCAAGCGUUAUCCGGAUUUACUGGGUGUAAAGGGAGCGCAGACGGCAGUGCAAGUCUGAAGUGAAAACCCGAGGCUCAACCACGGGAUUGCUUUGGAAACUGUACAGCUAGAGUGUCGGAGGGGUAAGCGGAAUUCCUAGUGUAGCGGUGAAAUGCGUAGAUAUUAGGAGGAACACCGGUGGCGAAGGCGGCUUACUGGACGAUAACUGACGUUGAGGCUCGAAAGCGUGGGGAGCAAACAGG